rnacentral:antisense_RNA from 1 species
CUGCUGACAACGCGCUUCGGUCAACGUUAAGCAAAUCAAACCACGUCCAUAUUUCGCCAUGAAGUUAAUCGCAGCCGGCGUCACACAUUCGGCUGCCAUAAUGA